GUUUUGUUGGUGCGAUGUCUCGCGGAUAAAUAUAAAGAAGGGGCACCUGAUGUGGACAAAUACAAUUUUCUGGGAAGCUUAGCGGUUAAGGCGGCAAUAGUGUCGCGUUUGUGAUGGACUAAUUGACGGACGAUGAGGACGUUUAUCACACUUCCACUUGCUGGUGACCGUUGAGGUGGAAAAAUUAUAAAAUAGACAGGGAAGAUGAGAUGGUAG
rnacentral:lncRNA from 1 species